rnacentral:tRNA from 1 species
UCUAAUAUGGCAGAAUAGUGCAUUAGAUUUAAGCUCUAAAAAUAAAGAAAUUCCUUUUAUUAGAA